CCCUUAGAUGUUCUGGGCCGCACGCGCGCUACACUGAUGCAUUCAACGAGUCUAAAACCUGCUCUGAUAGGGGUGGGUAAUCUUUUGAAUGUGCAUCGUGAUUGGGAUAGAUGAUUGCAAUUUUUCAUCUUCAACGAGGAAUGCCUAGUAAACGCAAGUCAUCAGCUUGCAUUGAUUACGUCCCUGCCCUUUGUACACACCGCCCGUCGCUCCUACCGAUUGAAUGAUCCGGUGAAUAAUUCGGACUGCAGCACUGCUUGGUCUCCAGGCUUUGCAGCGGAAAGUUUAGCGAACCUUAUCACUUAGAGGAAGGAGAAGUCGUAACA
rnacentral:rRNA from 1 species